GAAAGGACUGCUGGGAUUUUGGUUGGGAUCACAUCGAACGUGUAGAUCAACUUAGAGAAGAAAUGAUAAUAUUGAGUUUUCCAAUCCAUGAUAAUGGUGCUCUCGAUCCUGGGCCAGAUUAGAUGCAGCGAGAGACAUGUAUAAAGCCAACACACUGUGUUACUACAAGCAGGUGUGCUUGUCUCCCACCAGUCUGCCUCCAGCUUUCCUUCCCCAAAGCCUGUCUUGCCAGUCUGCAGGCAGGUGGCUUCGGGGCCAGCAGCAGAGGAGUUGGCCUUCCGGAGAGCCCUCGAUAGACUCCCAUUCAUGUUCACAGCCGUUGUGUAUGUGUCAUCUCUAGUACUGAAUGAUAAAGUUCUUCAAGGACCACACGAAACUUCUCUUUAUUCUUCAACAGCUGCUGCCACAACAAUCAAAUUCUAGACAACAAAAUAACAAAUCAAGCCUUGAUUUGUGGUCGUGCCAGUUUCCCUAGUGUAAAUACUCCCAAGAUGGCUGAUGUCCAAGCUCCCAGUGUGAUGUCAGUGAACAUGGAAUCGGGAAGAAAUGUAUGAUACAGAUGCAAUAGAUGUAAAUAAGCUUAAAGUCCAUAGAUAACAGUAAAAUAUAGUAAAAUAAUUA